rnacentral:tRNA from 3 species
UAGCUCAGCUGGAUAGAGCACUUGACUACGAAUCAAGUGGCCAGAGGUUCGAAUCCU